GAUGAACGCUAGCGGCAGGCUUAACACAUGCAAGUCGAGGGGCAUCGGGAGGGAAGCUUGCUUUCCUUGCCGGCGACCGGCGCACGGGUGAGUAACACGUAUGCAACCUGCCCUCUUCAGGGGGACAACCUUCCGAAAGGGAGGCUAAUCCCGCGUAUAUCGGGUUCGGGCAUCCGUUAUCGAGGAAAGAUUCAUCGGAAGAGGAUGGGCAUGCGGCGCAUUAGCUAGACGGCGGGGUAACGGCCCACCGUGGCGACGAUGCGUAGGGGUUCUGAGAGGAAGGUCCCCCACACUGGUACUGAGACACGGACCAG
rnacentral:rRNA from 1 species